rnacentral:rRNA from 1 species
GGCUCAGGAUGAACGCUGGCGGCGUGCUUAACACAUGCAAGUCGAACGGAGGACCCUGACGGAGUUUCGGACAACAGAUAGGAAUCCUUAGUGGCGGACGGGUGAGUAACGCGUGAGGAACCUGCCUUGGAGAGGGGAAUAACACAGAGAAAUUUGUGCUAAUACCGCAUGAGGCAACUAAGUCGCAUGGCUUUGGUUGCCAAAGAUUUAUCGCUCUGAGAUGGCCUCGCGUCUGAUUAGCUUGUUGGUGGGGCAACGGCCCACCAAGGCGACGAUCAGUAGCCGGACUGAGAGGUUGGCCGGCCACAUUGGGACUGAGACACGGCCCAGACUCCUACGGGAGGCAGCAGUGGGGAAUAUUGGGCAAUGGGCGCAAGCCUGACCCAGCAACGCCGCGUUGAAGGAAGAAGGCUUUCGGAUCGUAAAGUUCUGUUAUGAAGGAAGAACGGCGCCUGGAGGAGAAAGCCGGGCGUAUGACGGUACUUCAUGAGGAAGCCACGGCUAACUACGUGCCAGCCGCCGC